UGGGGAAUAUUGCACAAUGGGCGCAAGCCUGAUGCAGCCAUGCCGCGUGUGUGAAGAAGGCCUUCGGGUUGUAAAGCACUUUCAGCGAGGAGGAAGGUGGUGAGCUUAAUACGCUCAUCAAUUGACGUUACUCGCAGAAGAAGCACCGGCUAACUCCGUGCCAGCAGCCGCGGUAAUACGGAGGGUGCAAGCGUUAAUCGGAAUUACUGGGCGUAAAGCGCACGCAGGCGGUUUGUUAAGUCAGAUGUGAAAUCCCCGGGCUCAACCUGGGAACUACAUUUGAAACUGGCAAGCUAGAGUCUCGUAGAGGGGGGUAGAAUUCCAGGUGUAGCGGUGAAAUGCGUAGAGAUCUGGAGGAAUACCGGUGGCGAAGGCGGCCCCCUGGACGAAGACUGACGCUCAGGUGCGAAAGCGUGGGGCAGCAAACAGGAUUAGAUACCCUGGUAGUCCAGCGCUGUAAACGAUGUCGAUUUGGAGGUUGUGCCCUUGAGGCGUGGCUUCCGGAGCUAACGCGUUAAAGUCGACCGCCUGGGGAGUACGGC
rnacentral:rRNA from 1 species